GCCUGUUUGGCUCAGUGGAUAGAGCAUCGGCCUGUGGACUGAAGGGUCCCGGGUUCAAUUCCCGUCAAGGGCA
rnacentral:tRNA from 1 species